rnacentral:tRNA from 1 species
GCCUGGCUGGCUCAGUCAGUGGAGCACGUGACUCUUGAUCUCAGGGUUGUGAGUUUGAGCCCCACGUUGGGCA